ensembl:snRNA U6 U6 spliceosomal RNA
AUGCUUCAGCAACAUAUAUGCUAAAAUUGGAAAGAUACUGAGAAAGAUAGUAUGGCCCCUGCACAGGGAUGACACACAAUUUCAUGAAGCAUCACACACACAC